CAGAGAGUAGUUUAGCCAGAAUCCUGGCUUUGGGGGCCAGGGGCGGGGGUUAGAGUCCCUCUUCUCUGA
rnacentral:tRNA from 1 species